rnacentral:lncRNA from 10 species
GUGAGUCAGCAAGACUGACGGAGGGACGAAGCCAGGAGGCCAGAACCUGCAAUCAGUAUCAAUGGGCUGAAAUCAAGGGGUCGGCAGAGCUUCGCUCCCUCCUGGGGGUCUAGGGUAGAGCCUGCCUCUUCCCCACCUCCUCCGGAUUCGGCGGCUGCUGGUGCUCUUGGCUGUGUAGUCCCGAUCUCUGCCUCAUCUUCACAUCGCCUUCUCUGCUCUGUGUGCAAGCCACCCUCUACCUGCAUCAUAAGGAUACAAGUGAUUUAGGGCCCACCUGGAUGAUCCAGGGUCCCCUCCCACUUUAAAAUCCUUAAUGUAAUCCCAUCUGCAAAGACUUUGCCAUAUAAGGAGGAAACAAAGUCCAGAGGGGCCUAAGGAGCCCAGGGCCACACAGCACAGAGUGAGGAUGGCACCCCUCCUGCCACCACCGUCGCUGAAUUGAGUGCUGAUUCUGCAUGGAGCUUUGCCUGUGCUGCCUGCCUCAUGCUCCCCAGGAAAGCGCUAUCAUUAUCACCCUCGUUUUCCUGAGGAGGGAGAAACUGAGGCUGAGAGAGGCCAGUCAUCUCGGUGGAGGCCACAUAAUGGAUCCAGAAUUGGAGCUGGACAGCCGCCACAACGCCGAGUGUUAAGGAGGAACACAGUUUGCAGCUGCCCCCCACCCCUGCCAGGCUAUGGCUUGUCACCAUCAGCUCCAUGUAAACUAGAGACUAGUGGUAAAACCACCUUUGCAAAAAUUAUGACGGUGAGAGAAACCUGACAGUUGGCUCCAUUUUGCUUCUACCCUCACAAGCUAACCAUCUUUGCUCAUUCCUGGGCGUAGACCAAGCUAACUAUGGGAGAAAUUUAGUUUAUAGUUUAACUUUAGAACAAAGAUGAUAACGGUUCCUUCCUGAAAUGAACCCCCUCCUUGCCUGGGGACAAAAACCACCUUUGUAAAGUUAACAAAUUAGCCACAAGGUUAGAAUUAUGGUUCUGGAGUCAAGUAGCCAGAGAUCACAAGUUUGUAACUUCCUCAGUUGCUUCUAUAGAUGACAUCAUUAGGAUAAAACCAAAGACUGGUGUUUGAGGUAUUUUUCAGAACUUGCAUUCUGAGGCACCAGCUGGUGCCGCCCAAACCCAUAACCCAUACAAAGAAAUGGACUCACCCAGUCCUGUGACUCUACCCAGGAAUUGACUCAGAGCAAGAAGACAGCUCUGGACCCUGCAAUUUCACCCCUGAACCAACCAAUCAGCAUUCUCCAUUUCCUAAGCCCCACCUGUCAAACCAUCCUUUAGAAACCGUAGCCUCCAAAUUCUUCUGAUGGGCAUUUGGGUUGGUUCCAAGUCUUCGCUAUUGUACAUAGUGCUGCAAUAAACAUACCUGUGCGUGUGUCUUUAUAGUAGAAUGAUUUAUAACCCUUUGCAUAUAUACCCAGUAAUGGGAUUGCUGGGUGGAAUGGUAUUUCUGG